CAAAGGAGAAACGAAAUAGAGAAGAGAAAGACGGACAAGAACGUGAUACCUGAAAACAAUAGCCCUAAAAUGAAGGAGCCCUAAGGUAAUGAUGGAAGAGCAACUCUGAGAAGAGGCCUGAAGGCGCGAUUUGAACUGUAAUGAGGCUCCUCUGGUGAAGAAACACAGUGGAAUGAUGUAAAUUGGGAAGAGAACUCGAGACCAG
rnacentral:lncRNA from 1 species